rnacentral:rRNA from 1 species
CCUACGGGUGGCAGCAGUAGGGAAUAUUGCUCAAUGGGGGAAACCCUGAAGCAGCAACGCCGCGUGGAGGAUGAAGGUUUUCGGAUUGUAAACUCCUUUUGUUAGAGAAGAUAAUGACGGUAUCUAACGAAUAAGCACCGGCUAACUCCGUGCCAGCAGCCGCGGUAAUACGGAGGGUGCAAGCGUUACUCGGAAUCACUGGGCGUAAAGAGCGCGUAGGCGGGAUAGCAAGUCAGAUGUGAAAUCCUAGGGCUUAACCAUAGAACUGCAUUUGAAGCUGUUAUUCUAGAGUAUGGGAGAGGUAGGUGGAAUUCUGGGUGUAGGGGUAAAAUCCGUAGAGAUCAAGAGGAAUACUCAUGGCGAAGGCGACCUGCUAGAACAUAACUGACGCUGAUGCGCGAAAGCGUGGGGAGCAAACAGGAUUAGAUACCCUUGUAGUC